ACACACACACAUGAACACACAGGGAUGCGCGCGCAUCCACCCGGGGUCUCCCGGUCAAUGGCGAGCUCAUGUCGGCGCCUCGGAUUUAGAUGAAGAAUUCAUCUUAAUCCUCAAGUCUUUUUCGCCAUCUCCGGGUCCAAGUUGGAUGUCAAAGUUGACCGACUUGUGGGUUUAUGUCCACAACCUUCUACUAUCCAGAUACUACGUCCACAGAGUCUAAUUAGGAGGAUGAUAUCCACGGUUGAAGCGACGACAUUGGAGAGACGGUACAACAAAAU